UACGUAGGGGGCAAGCGUUGUCCGGAUUUAUUGGGCGUAAAGAGCGUGUAGGCGGCCUGAAAGGUCAGCUGUGAAAACUCGAGGCUCAACCUCGAGACGUCGGUUGAAACCAUCUGGCUAGAGUCCGGAAGAGGAGUGUGGAAUUCCCGGUGUAGCGGUGAAAUGCGCAGAUAUCGGGAAGAACACCGAUGGCGAAGGCAGGUCUCUGGGCCGAUACUGACGCUGAGGAGCGAAAGCGUGGGGAGCGAACAGGA
rnacentral:rRNA from 1 species